rnacentral:rRNA from 1 species
AUUGAACGCUGGCGGCAUGCUUUACACAUGCAAGUCGAACGGUAGCAGGCCUUCGGGUGCUGACGAGUGGCGAACGGGUGAGUAAUGCAUCGGAACGUACCCAGAGGUGGGGGAUAACGCAGCGAAAGCUGUGCUAAUACCGCAUGUGAUCUGAGGAUGAAAGCGGGGGACCGAGCAGCAAUGUUUGGCCUCGCGCCUUUGGAGCGGCCGAUGUCGGAUUAGCUAGUUGGUGGGGUAAAGGCCUACCAAGGCGACGAUCCGUAGCUGGUCUGAGAGGACGACCAGCCACACUGGGACUGAGACACGGCCCAGACUCCUACGGGAGGCAGCAGUGGGGAAUUUUGGACAAUGGGCGCAAGCCUGAUCCAGCAAUGCCGCGUGCGGGAAGAAGGCCUUCGGGUUGUAAACCGCUUUUGGCAGGAACGAAACGGUGUCCGCUAAUACCGGGCGCUAAUGACGGUACCUGCAGAAUAAGCACCGGCUAACUACGUG